rnacentral:rRNA from 1 species
GACGAACGCUGGCGGCGUGCUCAACACAUGCAAGUCGAACGAAGUGGCGAACGGGUGAGUAAUACGUGGGUAACCUGCCCUCCUUUUUGGGAUAAGCCUUGGAAACGGGGUCUAAUACCGAAUAAAGGGGGAUGGGCUCGCGGCCUAUCAGCUUGUUGGUGGGGUGAUGGCCUACCAAGGCGGGGACGGGUAGCCGGCCUGAGAGGGUGACCGGCCACAUGGGGCCUGGGAUGCGGCCCGGACGCGUCCGGGGGGCGGCAGUUGGGGAUAUUGCACGAUGGUCGAAGGCCAGGUCCGGGAGACCCUCGUGGGGGAUGACGGCGAUCGGGUUGUAAACCUCUUUCGCUAUCGAACUGGUAGGUGGGGAAGUAGCCCCGGCUAACUACGUGCCGGCCGCCGCGGUAAUAC